rnacentral:rRNA from 1 species
GACGAACGCUGGCGGCGUGCUUAACACAUGCAAGUCGAACGGACAGGCCCUGCUUUUGUGGGGUGCUCGAGUGGCGAACGGGUGAGUAACACGUGAGUAACCUGCCCUUGACUUUGGGAUAACUUCAGGAAACUGGGGCUAAUACCGGAUAGGAGCUCCUGCUGCAUGGUGGGGGUUGGAAAGUUUCGGCGGUUGGGGAUGGACUCGCGGCUUAUCAGCUUGUUGGUGGGGUAGUGGCUUACCAAGGCUUUGACGGGUAGCCGGCCUGAGAGGGUGACCGGGCACAUUGGGACUGAGAUACGGCCCAGACUCCUACGGGAGGCAGCAGGGGGGAAUAUUGCACAAUGGGCGGAAGCCUGAGGCAGCAACGCCGCGUGCGGGAUGACGGCCUUCGGGGUGUAAACCGCUUUCGCCUGUGACGAAGCGUGAGUGACGGUAAUGGGUAAAGAAGCAACGGCUAACUACGUG